AAACGUCGCUCCGCAAGUGGUGCCCGCGUAUAUUGGGCCUAAAGCGUCCGUAGCCGGUCCGGUAAGUCCCCUUUUAAAUCGGCGGGCUUAACCCGUCGGCUGCAGGGGAUACUGCCGGGCUCGGGACCGGGAGAGGCCGGGGGUAUUCCCGGGGUAGGGGUUAAAUCCUGUAAUCCCGGGAGGACCACCUGUGGCGAAGGCGCCCGGCCAGAACGGGUCCGACGGUGAGGGACGAAAGCUGGGGGAUCAAACCGGAUUAGAAACCCGAGUAGUCC
rnacentral:rRNA from 1 species